rnacentral:rRNA from 1 species
UACGAGGGGGGCGAGCGUUGUUCGGAAUUAUUGGGCGUAAAGCGCGUGUAGGCGGCUUUGCAAGUCGGAUGUGAAAUCCCACGGCUCAACCGUGGAAGUGCAUCCGAAACUGCAUCGCUGGAGUCUCGGAGAGGAAGGUGGAAUGCUUGGUGUAGAGGUGAAAUUCGUAGAUAUCAAGCAGAACACCUGCGGCGAAGGCGGCCUUCUGGACGAUGACUGACGCUGAGACGCGAAAGCGUGGGGAGCAAACAGG